ACAGGUCUAGCCGGGGUACAGUAUAAUGCAUAUUGUAGAGUAUAGGACAGUAUUGUGUUGUGUAUUGUCUCACCACACAGCUAGAGGGACAGACAGGUCUAGUGUGGGGUUUCAGCGGUCGUCUGAAGAACUCUCCCAGGUUACGAUAAGAAGCCAGAUCCUCCACCUCCGCCUCCUAACACACACGCACACACACACACACACAAUAUUAGAGCUAUAUGGACCUUUAGCGUCAUGUUGACGCUAAAGGUCCAGAUAUAGAGCAUAUAGACAAUAUUAGAACUAUUUAUACCUUCAUGUUGACGCCAAAGGUCCAGAUAUAGAGCCUAUAGACUGGCUUCCUGAGCCAUGCUGGGAGCUCAACACGAUUCAGACGACCCCACGCCCGCGACACCAGCCGAGUGGGGAUGCUGCGGUACAACGC